GGACUGAAACGAGAAUGGAAGCCGAUAAAGGAUCACGACAGUAUUUAUAGAGAGCUCGUUCCUACGGCAACGCAGCUAGCUGAAACCGGCCUCCCAUCCACGUAUGAACCGGUUUAGCCUUGUUACCUCAUCCACAUGGUGGAAGCGACACACAGACACAGGGGCCGCUAGACAAUUACCAUAUACAAGAGUACGGAAAGGUACAACCAGUUCAAACCAGCCUCAUAUUUACGUAAAAAAAAACUUGAGGCGUGUCACCACAUUGAGAAAUGCCUACUCACGUUGGCAGACAGCAACAGUCUGCUGGCCCUGACUGACAGCAUGCUGGAUGGCAGCCUGCUCUUGACCUUCCUAAUGAGAUUAAAGGAGAUCACAAGAUGACUAGGAGAUGGCAUGGUGUCAACACAGUCACAUGUCACAACAGCUCUGUAAAGUUCUAUGAAGAUAUACAAUGAAUGUGUUUUACUUGA